rnacentral:rRNA from 1 species
AUUGAACGCUGGCGGCAGGCCUAACACAUGCAAGUCGAGCGGAUGAAGGGAGCUUGCUCCUGGAUUCAGCGGCGGACGGGUGAGUAAUGCCUAGGAAUCUGCCUGGUAGUGGGGGAUAACGUCCGGAAACGGGCGCUAAUACCGCAUACGUCCUGAGGGAGAAAGUGGGGGAUCUUCGGACCUCACGCUCUCAGAUGAGCCUAGGUCGGAUUAGCUAGUUGGUGGGGUAAAGGCCUACCAAGGCGACGAUCCGUAACUGGUCUGAGAGGAUGAUCAGUCACACUGGAACUGAGACACGGUCCAGACUCCUAAGGGAGGCAGCAGUGGGGAAUAUUGGACAAUGGGCGAAAGCCUGAUCCAGCCAUGCCGCGUGUGUGAAGAAGGUCUUCGGAUUGUAAAGCACUUUGAGUUGGGAGGAAGGGCAGUAAGUUAAUACCUUGCUGUUUUGACGUUACCAACAGAAUAAGCACCGGCUAACUUCGUG